UUUUGCGGAGAGUUUGAUCCUGGCUCAGGAUGAACGCUGGCGGCGUGCUUAACACAUGCAAGUCGAACGCUGAAGCCUGGUGCUUGCACUGG
rnacentral:rRNA from 1 species